AGUUCUUUGAGGGUAAAAUAAAACACGGGGCCUAAAAACCAGCAUGAAAAAGUAAAGGGGGCUUUCUAACACUGGAGUUAAGACAAUACUCUGGAGCCUUGCCGGGUGUGGUUUAUUUCGCCAAAUGUCUUUCAGGUCUUUUAUAUGAAAAAUAGCUUUCCCCUGUGCCCUCUUCAGUUCUUUGAGACUAAAAGAGAAAACGGCGGCUCGGAAAACGUGCCUUGGAAAAGUAAAGGAGCCUUUCUAACACUGCAGGUCUUUUAUAGGAAAAAUAGCCUUCCCCUGUGCCCUCUUCAGUUCUUUGAGACUCAAAGAGAAAACGGCGGCUCGGAAAACGUGCCUUGGAAAAGUAAAGGAGCCUUUCUCACACUG